rnacentral:rRNA from 1 species
CUGCCCUUAACUCUGGGAUAAGCCUGGGAAACUGGGUCUAAUACCGGAUAUGACCCGUCACCGCAUGGUGGUGGGAGGAAAGAUUUUUUGGUUUUGGAUGGACUCGCGGCCUAUCAGCUUGUUGGUGAGGUAAUGGCUCACCAAGGCGACGACGGGUAGCCGGCCUGAGAGGGUGACCGGCCACACUGGGACUGAGACACGGCCCAGACUCCUACGGGAGGCAGCAGUGGGGAAUAUUGCACAAUGGGCGCAAGCCUGAUGCAGCGACGCCGCGUGAGGGAUGAAGGCCUUCGGGUUGUAAACCUCUUUCAGUAGGGAAGAAGCGAAAGUGACGGUACCUGCAGAAGAAGCGCCGGCUAACUACGUGCCAGCAGCCGCGGUAAUACGUAGGGCGCAAGCGUUAUCCGGAAUUAUUGGGCGUAAAGAGCUCGUAGGCGGUUUGUCGCGUCUGCCGUGAAAGUCCGGGGCUCAACUCCGGAUCU